rnacentral:rRNA from 1 species
AACGAACGCUGGCGGCAUGCCUAACACAUGCAGGCCGAACGAGAUCUUCGGGUCUAGUGGCGCACGGGUGCGUAACGCGUGGGAAUCUGCCCUUUGGUUCGGAAUAACAGUUGGAAACGACUGCUAAUACCGGAUGAUGACGAAAGUCCAAAGAUUUAUCGCCAGAGGAUGAGCCCGCGUAGGAUUAGCUAGUUGGUGUGGUAAAGGCGCACCAAGGCGACGAUCCUUAGCUGGUCUGAGAGGAUGAUCAGCAACACUGGGACUGAGACACGGCCCAGACGCCUACGGGAGGCAGCAGUGGGGAAUAUUGGACAAUGGGCGAAAGCCUGAUCCAGCAAUGCCGCGUGAGUGAUGAAGGCCUUAGGGUUGUAAAGCUCUUUUACCCGGGAUGAUAAUGACAGUACCGGGAGAAUAAGCUCCGGCUAACUCCGUGCCAGCCGCCGCAGUAAUAC